rnacentral:lncRNA from 1 species
GGAGAUGACCAUUACUCUAAGUGGGCACAGCUGAGUGAGGACUCCAGCAAGGCCUCUUCGGAAGGAGACCGUGCAUGGCGACUCUUCGCCCCCUCGCCCACCUCCUCAUCUAUUUACUCGCCUAUUCCUGUGUUUACUCAUGUUUGUACUUGUUGAUUUAUUUUUUUAGCAUCUUUGUAGAAGACUAGGCAGCUGAGCUGGACGGAAGCCACUUGGUCACCGAAAGCCUUUCCCACGGGCCAAGAAAUGGCCGAUUUCUCUCAAAUGCUGUAUACUGGAAGAAUCCAAAGGAUUCAUCAGAUGGACACAUUUCAAAGAACCACUACCAAUUUUUUUUUCUUAAGAAGUGCAUCAAGCCUCUGAUUUGCUGCUGACAAAUUGUCUAUCUUUCUCUUUCCCGGGUCCCUUUUCUCUCCCUCUCGUUGUCUCUUUUCCUUUUUCUCAUCCUUCCGCUCUCUUGUCCUCCCCAGUUUUUGUCUCUCUGCUCUGCCCCUCUCUCCCCGCUUUCCCCAGCCCUCCUCACCCUGGCCCCUCUCCCGUCUCCCCCUCCUUGCUUAGGUAUCUGCCCAGAGGACACCAUUUCUUCUCAGACGUGAUGACCAGGAAGAAUGUUUUUCAGUUAUCAUAAAGAUCGUGAGUUUCUGCUUUGCUCCAGUGACCACAUGAUGACUUUCUUUCCCAGCUUGUCAUGGAUUGGGUCUGCUUUUUCAAGCAUUUUAUAAUAAUUAUUUGGCUUUUUACCCUUCUGAAUUCUCUCUGGA